rnacentral:snRNA from 14 species
GUGUUUGCUUGGCAGCUCGCCCACUAAAAUUCGAACCGUGUAGAGAUUAGCAUGGCUCCUGUCCUUAAGAUAGCAUGCAAAUUUGUGGAGCCUUACAUAUUUUU